rnacentral:rRNA from 1 species
GACGAACGCUGGCGGCGUGCUUAACACAUGCAAGUCGAACGGAAAGGCCCUGCUUUUGUGGGGUGCUCGAGUGGCGAACGGGUGAGUAACACGUGAGUAACCUGCCCUUGACUUUGGGAUAACUUCAGGAAACUGGGGCUAAUACCGGAUAGGAGCUCCUGCUGCAUGGUGGGGGUUGGAAAGUUUCGGCGGUUGGGGAUGGACUCGCGGCUUAUCAGCUUGUUGGUGGGGUAGUGGCUUACCAAGGCUUUGACGGGUAGCCGGCCUGAGAGGGUGACCGGCCACAUUGGGACUGAGAUACGGACCAGACUGCUACGGGAGGCAGCAGGGGGGAAUAUUGCACAAUGGGCGGAAGCCUGAUGCAGCAACGCCGCGUGCGGGAUGACGGCCUUUGGGUUGUAAACCGCUUUCGCCUGUGACGAAGCGUGAGUGACGGUAAUGGGUAAAGAAGCACCGGCUAACUACGUG